rnacentral:rRNA from 1 species
GUUGAUCCUGGCUAGAACGAACGCUGGCGGCGCGUUUAAGCAUGCAAGUCGAGCGGCAAGGGCCUUCGGGCCCCUAGAGCGGCGGACGGGUGAGUAACACGUGGACAAUCUGCCCCCCGGCCCGGGAUAGCCCAGGGAAACCUGGAUUAAUACCGGAUGAGACGGGACCCGCGAUGGCGGGACCCGGGAAAGGCGCUGCGGCGCCGCCGGGGGAUGAGUCUGCGUCCCAUUAGCUAGACGGCGGGGUAACGGCCCACCGUGGCGACGAUGGGUAGCCGGCCUGAGAGGGUGGACGGCCACAUUGGAACUGAGACACGGUCCAGACUCCUACGGGAGGCAGCAGCUAAGAAUCUUCCGCAAUGGGCGAAAGCCUGACGGAGCCGACGCCGCGUGAACGAAGAAGGCCGUGAGGUUGUAAAGUUCUUUUCGGGAGGGGGAACAACCGUGGCAGGGAAUGGCCGCGGGAUGACGUGAAUCCCGGAAUAAGCCCCGGCUAACUACGUGCCAGCCGCAGC